rnacentral:rRNA from 1 species
CAGUCGAACGGGAAACCUUUUAUUGAAGCUUCGGCAGAUUUAGAUUGUUUCUAUGUGGCGGACGGGUGAGUAACGCGUGGGUAACCUGCCUUGUACAGGGGGAUAACAGUCGGAAAUGACUGCUAAUACCGCAUAAGCGCACAGGACCGCAUGGUCCGGUGUGAAAAACUCCGAUGGUAUAAGAUGGACCCGCGUUGGAUUAGCUAGUUGGUGAGGUAACGGCCCACCAAGGCGACGAUCCAUAGCCGACCUGAGAGGGUGACCGGCCACAUUGGGACUGAGACACGGCCCAAACUCCUACGGGAGGCAGCAGUGGGGAAUAUUGCACAAUGGGCGAAAGCCUGAUGCAGCGACGCCGCGUGAGCGAAGAAGUAUUUCGGUAUGUAAAGCUCUAUCAGCAGGGAAGAUAAUGACGGUACCUGACUAAGAAGCACCGGCUAAAUACGUGCCAGCAGCCGCGGUAAUACGUAUGGUGCAAGCGUUAUCCGGAUUUACUGGGUGUAAAGGGAGCGCAGGCGGUGCGGCAAGUCUGAUGUGAAAGCCCGGGGCUCAACCCCGGUACUGCAUUGGAAACUGUCGUACUAGAGUGUCGGAGGGGUAAGCGGAAUUCCUAGUGUAGCGGUGAAAUGCGUAGAUAUUAGGAGGAACACCAGUGGCGAAGGCGGCUUACUGGACGGUAACUGACGUUGAGGCUCGAAAGCGUGGGG